rnacentral:rRNA from 1 species
CCUACGGGAGGCAGCAGUGAGGAAUAUUGGUCAAUGGGCGCGAGCCUGAACCAGCCAAGUCGCGUGAGGGAAGACGGCCUUCGGGUUGUAAACCUAAGUGAUCAGGGAUGAAACAAAUGACAGUACCUGAAAAGCAAGCUCCGGCUAACUACGUGCCAGCAGCCGCGGUAAUACGUAGGGAGCAAGCGUUGUCCGGAUUUACUGGGUGUAAAGGGUGCGUAGGCGGGAACACAAGUCAGGCGUGAAAUACCGGGGCUCAACUCCGGGGCUGCGCUUGAAACUGUGUUUCUUGAGUGAAGUAGAGGCAGGCGGAAUUCCUAGUGUAGCGGUGGAAUGCGUAGAUAUUAGGAGGAACUCCGAUUGCGAAGGCAGUUCACUGGACUGCAACUGACACUGAGGCUCGAAAGUGUGGGUAUCAAACAGGAUUAGAUACCCCAGUAGUC